AGAACGAACGCUGGCGGCAGGCUUAACACAUGCAAGUCGAACGAGUGUAGCAAUACACUAGUGGCGCACUGGUGAGUAACGCGUGGAUAUCUACCUUUUGGUUCGGAAUAACCUUGGGAAACCGAGGCUAAUACCGGAUGGUUCCUACGGGAUAAAGAUUUAUCGCCAGAAGAGGAGUCCGCGUCCGAUUAGCUAGUUGGUGAGGUAACGGCUCACCAAGGCGACGAUCGGUAGCUGGUCUGAGAGGACGAUCAGCCACACUGGGACUGAGACACGGCCCAGACUCCUACGGGAGGCAGCAGUGGGGAAUAUUGGACAAUGGGCGAAAGCCUGAUCCAGCCAUGCCGCGUGAGUGAUGAAGGCCUUAGGGUUGUAAAGCUCUUUACCCGGGAAGAUAAUGACGGUACCGGAGAAUAAGCCCGGCUAACUUCGUGCCAGCAGCCGC
rnacentral:rRNA from 1 species